AUUCAUACAGGGAACCCUAAGUGGGUUAACAUCACCGUAUAGGUCAGAUCAAAAUCAGGAUAAUAUUCAACCUUGAUCCUCAGGCAUGACUCGGCUGAUUUGUAAAACCCACUACAACAGUUUCCAAAGAGCUCUCGCUUGCCAGUAUGUCACAUCCACUGUAUCCCGAGCAUUCAAAGGCAGCGAGAAAUGCCCCGGGGCUGCCCGAACUCUCUCACAUGUCCCGGGACCCGAGGGGAUUUACAACGUCCCCUUCAUAGGAAAUGCAUUGCAGUUCCGUUCUUACAGGAAAAAUAAAGACACACAUUUGUUUUUUCGUGAACUACACAAACAAUAUGGUAAAAUGUCGCGGAUUCGCCUUGGGUCUAAGAACUGUCUCAUCUUGUUUGACCCGGAACUUAUCAGCAAGGUGAUGGCGCAUGAAGGACCUUACCCAGAACGUUAUCCGGUUCCUUUGAUGGAAACUUAUGCAAAACGCACGAAGAGAGCCAUGUUUAAUAUCCAGUACACAUAGUAUUAUAAUUUGUGACAUUAGGAGGUUCCUAAUUGAUAUGAAAUAUUUUAUUAACUAAAUUAAAUGUCGGCCUAUGAUUAAAAUUUAAUAAUAAAUUUGUGCAUGUGCACUACAAUGCAGUUUUUUGUCUUGUCUAUUUAUACAGAAAAGGUCCAGAUUGGCAAAGCAUACGAAGCCCAGCACAGCAGAGCAUUAAACCAAGCGUAAUCAAGCUGUAUAUACCCGUGCAGAAUCAGUGCGCCGAAGAAUUGGUCACGUGGCUUUCAAACUAUGGCAACAAUAAUCCUGACAUUAAGGAAGCUUUCAUGAGGUAUUCGGCGGAUGCCAACUCCGUUGUGGCUUUCGACAAGAAGAUUGGAUUUCUGCAGAGCAUGGGGAAAUCGGAUCCAAAUCCGGAACUUCAACUUUUUCUCCGCAGCAUUAGUCGGUUCAUGGAAUUAGUCGGACAAAGUAUUUACACAGUUCCGACCUAUAAGCUAUGGCGAACCAAGUUGUACACGGAGUUUGAGACCGCUGCCGAUAACGUCUACAGAAUAAGUGAAAAAUAUGUCGAUGAAGCCCGAACAGAAUUAGAAAACCAGAGGAACUUGACCGAGGGAUCUCAGUCCGGCAAAUUCGGAGAGGAGCAAACGAUCCUUAGAUUUCUAAUUCAAAAUGGACGGAUGCCAAAUGAAUUUAUUGUCAACUUCAUGACCGCCCUGUUAUUUGGUGGGGUAGAGCAGGUUUCACAGUUCUUAAUGUGGAUGUUUUGGUUACUUGGGCAAUCGCCAGACAAGCAAGAAAAACUUCAUAAUGAGAUAAAGACCAAUAUAGGGGAUUCCCCGGUGACUGUGGAUACCCUCGGGCAUUUGCCUUAUUUGAAAGCGUGUGUCAAAGAAACAUUCAGACGUAUCCCACCAAUUGCAACAGGGAUAGCUAGAAAAAUUCUUGAGGAUACAGAAAUAGAGGGCUACCAAAUACCCAAAGGGACGUUUGUCUUUUUUGGCAAUAACACCCUGUCCAUGUCGGAGGAAUAUUUCGAGAACCCCGAGGACUUCCUCCCCGAGCGCUGGCUGCAGGGUGCUCAUGACCCCCCAACACAGCGUCUGAUGGGUCUGUGUGUCCUCCCAUUCGGCUUGGGCAAAAGAAACUGUUUGGGGAGACGAUUCGCUGAACAAGAAAUCCAUCUGGCGGCAAUAAAGAUUUUGCAAAAAUUUCACGUGGAAAUAACAGACGACUGUCGUGAAGUUCGUCCUGCGUACACGACCUUCGCUGUUCCCGAUCGACCAAUCAAAUUCAUUUUCAACAGACGAUGAUAAAAAAUGCAAGCAAUGUCAAGGCAACCCCAGCAGUCACCUCGAUUUACGGACUGUUAUACAUAAUAAGACUGACUUUUCCAAAAGCGGAAACUGGCAUACAGGCAGCAAAUGCCGCGCAAUAUCACUCAUUUGUCAACACAUGAAAGUGGGUUAGAGAAACGACUUGAGUAACAUUUGAUUGUAGAAUUACACUGAGUGCAAACAAAUACUGUUAUAAUUAUUCAUCCAUUAAUCGGACAUAAACAUCAGAGACAUAAUUGGAUGUUAUUUAUGUCUCUGAUAUGUACAUGAAUAAUUAUGCUAAAUUAGAGCUGAUGUUAUUUCAUUAUAGAACCAUUUUAAGAAGACCUUGGACUUUCGGUAUGACGUAACUAUGUAUUUCUUGCAUCAAAACAAGUUUUGAAUAAUGACGCUGGUAUUGAGUGAAAUAUGCAUAGAUUGCUCAAGAGCCAGACAAAUCUUGUUGAUUUCAAAGAGUAGCCAGCACUGAAAUAUUAGAAAGGUCUACGUCACAUUGCGGUUUGACAGAACUACCUAAAAGCCCAAGCUCUCGUCAAAAUGGUUCUAUUUCUGACAGUUUUGCAGUGAUGGGUUUCAAAUAACCUCUUCCGCGACUGACAAUCAAAACUGGCUUUUUAUACGUGUAGUAUAAUGAUACGGUUAUAAAUUUAACAGAACAAACUCGGAAUGAUUUUGUUGCAAUAAAUCUCAAACGCAUUAAUGUGAAUUUCAAGAUUUCAUAUAGAAAAGUUUGAUUUUGAAUUUCGUUUAGACAUUGUUAAGUUUGUUUAUGAACAUAUUUGUACAAUAGUUUUAACUGUUUUGUAUUGUUUAUUUGUAAACAUAUAAAAGACCAAGCAAUU
rnacentral:misc_RNA from 1 species